UACGAAGGGGGCUAGCGUUGCUCGGAAUUACUGGGCGUAAAGCGCACGUAGGCGGCUUGUUAAGUCAGGGGUGAAAUCCUGGAGUUCAACUCCAGAACUGCCUUUGAUACUGGCGAGCUUGAGUUCGGGAGAGGUGAGUGGAACUGCGAGUGUAGAGGUGAAAUUCGUAGAUAUUCGCAAGAACACCGGUGGCGAAGGCGGCUCACUGGCCCGAUACUGACGCUGAGGAGCGAAAGCGUGGGGAGCGAACAGG
rnacentral:rRNA from 1 species